rfam:Ipomoea nil DNA, scaffold: scaffold1734, cultivar: Tokyo-kokei standard.
GUGUUUGUAGUCUAAAGGUUAGGAUAAUUGCCUUCCAAGCAAUAGACCCGGGUUUCACUCCCGGCAAACGCA